rnacentral:rRNA from 1 species
GCAGCCGCCGCGGGAAUACGUAGGUGGCAAGCGUUGUCCGGAAUUAUUGGGCGUAAAGGGCUCGCAGGCGGUUUCUUAAGUCUGAUGUGAAAGCCCCCGGCUCAACCGGGGAGGGUCAUUGGAAACUGGGAAACUUGAGUGCAGAAGAGGAGAGUGGAAUUCCACGUGUAGCGGUGAAAUGCGUAGAGAUGUGGAGGAACACCAGUGGCGAAGGCGACUCUCUGGUCUGUAACUGACGCUGAGGAGCGAAAGCGUGGGGAGCGAACAGGAUUAGAUACCCCUGUAGUCCCUGUCUCUUAUA